rnacentral:rRNA from 1 species
AGCCCAAGCUUAAAACCCAAAGGACUUGACGGUGCCCCACCCACCUAGAGGAGCCUGUUCUAUAAUCGAUUCUCCCCGAUAUACCUCACCACUUCUAGCCCAUCAGCCUGUAUACCUCCGUCGUAAGCUUACCAUAUGAACGUCUACCAGUGAGCCAAAUGAUUUUUCAAUAAAUACGUCAGGUCAAGGUGCAGCCCACGAAGUGGUAAGCAAUGGGCUACAAUUUCUACCAAUAGAACACAACGAAAGACUAUGUGAAACCUAGUCAUGAAGGCGGAUUUAGUAGUAAAAAGAAAAUAGAGAGUUCUUUUUAACCUGGCGCUGGGACGCGUACACACCGCCCGUCACCCUCUUCAAACGCUUAUGCAAAGUUAAUAACAAAAUUAUGCACACCAGAAGAGGUAAGUCGUAACACGGUAAGCGUACUGGAAAGUGCGCUUGGAUUAA